UCGCAACCUGUUGGUGAGAUCUUACUGAGACACAUGUGAGCAUAUUCCGGAAAAACAGCCACGCUAAAAAAUGUUUACAAGUAUUGCUCGAUCAGCUAAUCAGCUGAUCGAGCUCGCAGCGCGGAAACGUGUUAUGCCUGCUAUCACAUGUCGCCCGCGUGAGAGCCGACUUCUCAGCUGACGCGGCGUCAUCCGUCUGUUUAUAGUACUUAUUAGUCUUUGUUCAAAAUCGCAAACAUCCUACGACAAACAUCCUAAAUAUACGAUACGCUCUCUUCCUUCAACAUAAUUAAUGUGCAUUGGGAAUAUUAGAUAAAUAAGGAAGGGUAUUUAGAAAUCAUAAAAGAUUGGGGGAAUAGGGACGCUUUCUUAGUGGAAAGUGUAAUUCUUGCGUACAAAAGACCGGAAAUCCCAAUACGCGCGUGCGUUUACACUACAAACAUUAUUAUCCCCUCCCAUUAUGUUAUAUAUACACAAACACCAGCACUUAGCUCUUAAUGGCCUUAUUAUUGUCAUAAAAAUUUGGUUUUACUAUCAGAGCUCCAAAGUGAGAUAAAAUGUUUUUAUUUUUAAAAUCCUGGAGUCAUCGUUUAGAUUUUUGUUCUUACAGCGAAUAGUUUUUACGUUUUAUCCUAGCACUUCCUAAUUGUAGGAGAGGCGACAAAUUGUUAAUUUAUAAUAGUAUAUCGACGAACGAUAUGCCUUUGUCUGUGAGUGACUAUGCCACUCACCUGCGAUUAAACUCUCGAAAAUAUCCGACGAAGCACUGCUUUUAGAUGCCAACUAUUACAGUGGUCAGAAAUAAGAUUAUAUACGAAAUGUGCGUUUGGUUUGGCCACUUGUUACCCGCUUUAUUAAUCGAUAUCUUUUAAAAAUGCACAGGUGCUCAACAAAGAAUAUGGAAAUUGUACGAUAUGAUAAUCAAGUAUCAGGACGCAAUUAGUUACUUUGGGAUGUACAAUUGGACACACAGCGAGGAUAACAUUCAGGUAAUGUCGCGAAUCCUGGACAAAAAUGAUCAGUUUUUAUUCGACUUUAACAUGAAAGGUUUGGCCGAAAUAUUUGGAGGAUCAAUUUAUAGGUAUACGCCUUUACCUGCUUAAGGAUAAUUUAAGUACUUUGGAAGCCAGUCGUAUCAAAUGGAAGAGUUGAACAACACACUGCCAACGAAACAGCUCGCGUGAAGGAAGAAGACUGGAAGUCGUAUCAUAUGUUGUCAUUUUCAACUGAGUCACCCGAAAUUCGGAGCAUACACGGGCACGUUUGUGUGCGUCAUCCUCUCUCAGUGCUAUUGGUGCUAUGGGAUUAGAUUUCUGACCAGACUGUCAUAAAUAUUUGAAAUAAAACAUGACUGGAGAUAUA